GUGGUUAAUGGGAAGACGAUGAAUUCUAUUUCAGACAUCCUAGGUUUGAGGAAACUGUGAGGACAUCUAAGUGGCAAUUUCCAAAAGGCAGCUGAAUUAAUGUGUCUGGAGAUAAGAAAAAGACUAGAAUGAGGUGAAGCCAGAAAGGAAGAGUCAUAAUCAAAGAAGAGAGUGAUCAAGAAUCCAAAAUAGACAGAGAGAGCAGGCUCUUAGAGAAAUGGGAGAACUACCGCACUGACUCUGCACGUAGGAGACAGGCAGGAGAGGAGCGCCCCAGCCAGAGCUCAACAUGCGCAAACAGGAAGUGUGUCCGAGGUUUUCUGGAGCUCACAGGAGCCGGGGACCCACAGCCAGACGUUUAUCUGAAAGAAAAGCAGACAAGACAAACUAAAUCAGCAACCAUCCCUUUGGAUGCCAGCUGACCUCGGAUGGAGAUUUAGUGCUAGAUGUAAAAGGCUUUGUUUACAGACAAUUAAAAACCACAUAAAUUUAAAUUGUCAAAGAAGAAAUGGUUUCCAAAGCUUCUAACAGCCUGGUAGCCCCUCCUCAGCCCUGUGCAGGAAAGGCCCAGAGGCAAAUACAAAGCCACCAACCCAAAUGCCUGUGGAGUUUGCCAGAAAGCCAGAUCCUGCUGCUUCUGCUGCUUGUUACUGAUGUUGAAAAAUAAAAUCUUAUACAGCUUCAAAUGUAGGUUCUUUGAGUGCUAAUCAAACAGCAAGAAGGCAACA
rnacentral:lncRNA from 10 species